rnacentral:lncRNA from 9 species
CACUCGCAGAUGAUAGAUGUUGUCCAUAGGUGGGUGGGAAAAAUGUCUGAAAAAAUAGGGAUUUCCUAUGUGGCACAGUGGGUUAAGGAUCCCCCAUUGCUGCAGCUCUGGCAUGGGCUGCAACUGCAGUGUGGGUUCAAUCCCUGGCCUUGGAUUGGGGGCAACCAAAAAAAAAAAGUCUGAAAAAAUAUGCCAUGAAUUCUAAGCAGUAAUUACCUCUAGGGAUUGAGAUUAGAAAACGCUUACUGAUUGCUUUGCAUAGUUAACAAAGAGAUGAGAGAACGUGGGUAACUUUUGCUUUAUUAUUGUGUAUUCCUUUCCUUCCCCUGACUCUGUAUAAAAAGGAAUAAAUACAGAAAUAUAUCUGGGACUGUUUCAACUAUAGUGGAGGCUGGCCUACAUAGGGCCUGCUCAUAAGUGAGAUAACCAAUUAAAUCCAUUAUUAUUUUAAACCAUUUGCUUUGUUAUUCUUGUUGUUUGCACCAUAAUUGAUAUUCUUUACAAUAACUAUAACAGAAGGCAUUAUUAUCAUAUAUAUGUAUUUUUCCAUAUGGAGGUUCCCAUGCUAGGGGUCUAAUCAGAGCUGUAGCUGCUGGCCUACACCAUAGCCACAGCAAGAACCAGAUCCGAGCCGCGUCUGCAACCUACACCACAACUCACAGCAAGGCUGGAUCCUUAACCCACUGCGCGAGGCCAGGGAUCGAACCCACGUCCUCAUGGACACUAGUCAGAUUUGUUACCGCUGAUUAACAACAGGAACUCCUUUUUAAAAAAAUUUUUUUUUCUUUUUCGGCCAUACCCACGGCCAUACGGAAGUUCCGGGGCCAGGGAUCAAAUCCAAGCCGCAGCUGUGAACUGUGCCACAGCUGUGGCAAUGCUGGAUCAUUUAACCAAGGGUGCCAGGCCAGUGAUCAAACCUGUGCUGCCACAGAGACAAGGCCAGAUCAUUAACCCACUGAGCCACAGCGGGAAUUCCUGAAAGGUUUUUGAUUGCUCUUUUGAUCUCUUUACUGGUGAUUGAUCUAUUCAGAUUUUCUAUUUCUUCAUGAUUCAGUCUUAAAAGUUGUAUGAUAAAAGAAAAGCUGUAAAGUAAUUUUGCUCAGAUCAAAUGUUUAAUUACGGAGAUCUUUUUAUGGCUGGAGGUCAAAUCAGAGCUGCAGCUACUGGCCUACACCCCAGCCACAGUAAUAUUGGAUCUGAGCUGCAUCUGCAACCUAUGCUGCAGCUUGCAAUCCUUAACACACUGAGAGAGGCCCGGGAUGGAAGCUGCCUUCUCGUCGGGUUCAUCACUCGCUGAGCCACAACGGGAACUACUGCAGUUAAUUUUCUAAUAGCAAAAACAUUGCAAACAGCCUAAGUGGCUCUCAGUAUAAGACUGGCUAAGAAUUGUAGUUAAAGAAUAUAGAAUACUACGAGGCUGUUAAGAGAACAAGGUAGAAUUGAAUAUGCAGAUCUGGAAAGAAACCCAUGACAUCUCGUAAAGCCAAAAAUCAGCAUUUAUGUAAAUUUUCUUAGCAUGACCCCAUAUGUAAUAAAAAGUAAUGUGCGCAUAUGGUUUUUUCUCUUUAUAUACAUCUAUAAAGAUUGUUCAUAGAAACAAAGUCUGGAGAAAUACGCACCAGAUAUGCCUAACAGGUAUUAUUGUAUUACUUCUUGUAGUUGGAAUGGGCAGACUUUCAUUUCUUGUUUACAUAAAUCCCAAACACGCGAUGGAAUCAUGGGUGAUUUAUGCUUUCUUGUUGGUGUUUCUGUUUCUGAUACUAAACCAUACAGAAACUCUUCGAGAUACAAAACCCACAGGUGACAAAUUGGGAGACUGUGAUAGAAUCCCGCCUCAGAUAUUUAUUUUUUAUGUUUUUAAUUAAAGUAGAGUUGAUUUACACUGUUGUGUCAAUUUCUGCUGUAUAGCAAAGUGCAGAUAUAUUUCACUUGGCCCACAUUUUAAUUUCUUUCUUUCCUUUUUUUUUUUUUUUUUCCUGCACCCAUGGCAUGUGGAAGUUCCUGGGCCAGGGAAUGAACCCACACCACAACAGUGAGCUGAACUGCUGCAGUCACAAUGCCAGAUCCUUAACCCACUGCACCACAAGUGACUCCUAUAAUUUCUUCCUAAUUGAAUAGUUGAUAGUAGUUAUCAUUAUUUUACACGGUGGGAUAUUUCACAUAAAAAAGUUCAAACUUCUGGGUCUUUUGAUAAUUAAGCAGGAGAUCCAGCAAUACUGGGCCUGCAUUCAUGGCUGAGGGAUCGGCAGGCACCUCCAGAUUAUCAGAAAAUGCAGUCCCCCUUAUCAUCUUCUUUAUCCCAAGACUCAACAUCAGUUGCUAUUUAUCAUUAUACUUGCAUUAUAGUUAUUUUUCUUUAAAAAUUAAUAUGUAAUUCACUUGCCAUAAAAUUCACCUUUUUAUUUUUUUUGGCCAUAUCCACAGCAUGCGGAACCGGCCAGGGAUCAAACUGCACCACAGCAGUGACAAUGUCAGAUCCUUUAACCACUAGGCCACCAGGGAACUCCAAAAUUCACCAUUUUAAAGUGGGAAAUUCAGUGGUUUUUAGAAUAUUCACAGAAGAGUUCCCAUCGUGGCUCAGUUGUUAAGGAACCCAACUAGUAACCGUGAGAUUCGAUCCCUGGCCUUGCCCAGUGGGUUAAGGAUCUGGUGUUGCGGUGAGCUGUGGUGUAGGUCACAGCCCUGCUCCGGUCCCACGUUGCUGUGGCUGUGGUGUAGGCAGGCAGUCAGAGCUCCAAUUCAAUCCCUAGCCUGGGAACCUCCAUAUGCCUCCGGUGUGGCCCUACAAAG